GUCUGUGACAGAGCUGCCUAACAGUUCAUCACACUGAUUUCAGACUAGAAAAAUUAAAAAAUGCAUUGUUUUGGGCUGAUGAGUGCCCUGACAGCCACAGGAAGGCAGAGAGAAAUCGGUGAAUCCUUCCAGUUGGCUAUUCUAGAGGUGGAUUCUGUGGUUUUGAAAGUACUUGUUUUCUUCUGCUUUUCUUUCCUUCUUUUUAGUCCUAAUGUCUAUUUUAAUUUUUUUAAAUGUUUCAUUUAUCCCCUAAAUUGUAAGCUUUGGAUUUGUCUCAGUUGUGGCCAAGCAGCUUUUGAAACCAAAUGAAAGACAGAAACAACAAAAGGAGAGCUCUGAGUUGAAUUCUGUUGAUGUCCUUGCAGCUUUUAUUGUUCCAAUAGAAUCCAUAUUAAUUGUCCCUGUUUAAAAGGGCUUUCUCUAACUUGACCUAUAUCUCCAAAUAUAAUUUUAACACUUAUUUUUCACUGAAGAAAUUAUAUAUUUGAAAACACAAUUUUCCUGUUUUAGUGCCCCAGUUUUACAUAUAUCCUGAAAGAUUCCCAAUAGUCCAUAAUUUCCAGUACCUCAAUGCCUGUCACUAAGGGUCCAUCAAUAACACAGAGACUUCUCUUUUCCUUUGAGCUCUCCGUGCUGCAUCCCAUGAAAUCCUUUAUUGUCUGGAAGCCACAGCAGAGUAAGACAGUGAGGAGCUACAGGGAAAACACAACUGGGAAGGACAGAAGCCAAGGCAAGUCACCAAUAAUAACUUAAUCUCCUACCCUAUCCUCGUGUCAUAUCACAAUUAAAUCAGGAGUGGUGAAAGAAUCCUUGGGGAAGUAAGAGAUGCACUUGGGAUUUUUUCUUUUUGGAGUAUCUUCAGGGCUUUGUGGCCUCUGACUGACACGGUGCCCCUGCCUGGGAUACUGGGAUGGUUCUGGAUGCCCUUUGAAAGGAGCUCUCCCCCAGUCAGUGGAUCUUGCUGUGAUUUUGAUGUUGUUGCAGUAAUAAGGACAGAAGGACGCCCUCCAUGUUCUAUCCAUUGGUUCUCCACAGCAAAGGAUCAGUGUUGGCUACAAUCUGCAGCCUCAGAGUCCUGUUGUCAGCUUGGGCUGUUGUCACACACUCAGCUAAUACCCUCCAGUAAUUUUAUUUCUUAUUCACGUGCACACUUAAUGUCCUUAGUCAUUAGACUGAAAAAUGUUAACCUUGUCAUAGCUAGUGACUGGAAGCAGAAAAGUCCAUUUAAUUCUCAGGGGAAUGAAUUCUAAUUUUCUGCUUGUCAGAAAGUGGCAUUUUACAUAUUUUUCUCUUUUCUUCCCCAGCAGUUUAGUGCUAAAUUGAAAUGUGUAUGUCAUAGGAAUAGACCUUUAGUCAGUGCUAAACACCCCAAAAGCCUUGGCAGGGGUCCAGUGUGUGAGAGCCUCGACCAAGAGCUGCUGCUAAAGCUGGUUUCAGGCACUGCAGAGAUGGGGGUGACAAUGAAAAGUUGAGAGAUAAGAGGUCAGCACAGAGGGCACAUUAACAUUGCGUGUCAGGAUGCAUUUUUCCCCCAGCAAAUGUGGAUGGAUGGAAAGCAGCUCAUCUGGAAUAAAAUGUCCAAUGAAGAAAUAAAUUAUGUUAAUCAAGCAGACUAGUACUAAUAUUUGUCAUUAAGAUGUGACAUCUUCUAAUUAAUGUCCCAAAUUAUUGUGAGCCUUUAAAAACCAUACUGGUGGGAAGUUGUCUGCAGAUACUGAGUUCCCUGAGCUAUGAAAGGGAAGAGCUUGUCUUGAAAAAUAGAUGGCAUUUAUGGCAAAGAGAAAUAAUCCUCCCACAGAUUACAGCUGUUCACUGCAUUGUUGUGCUGGUGGUCUUAUCUCAUCAGUGGAUGUUUUAUAUGGUUCUUUUUAUUUUAUUUUUUGGAUGCAUUUUCAUCAGGCUGUUCUGAGGAGGACAUUGUGUACUGGGAGCUGGAUGUAUUUUGAGAAAGAGACACCACUACAAAGAGCUCCGAGUUUAAAUUGCAAAGAUGGAUGAAGUAAAAAUGAGGGAUGGUUAUUUUGCUUUUUGCAGAUGGGAGCUGAAGCAGGGGAGGUGACUGUUGUGGCCAAAGUCACCCUGGGAGUCCGUGGAAUUGCAUCCUGAUCUUUGAAGUGCAGUUCCAGUUUUUUACCAUACAUUGUCUUCUGUUCCCUUGCUGCUGAGUGUGGAUUUGAUAUGCACAUGUGUAAUGAGCCAAGCAUGUUCUGCAUAUGUUUAGCCAAACUGUGACCUCAGGGACAUGAGGGGAAUGCUCCCUGGUCUGCUUAGGAGAGCUUCCACGGCCGGGCUCACGCAAGGGCAGCAGAGCCGUGUUGGCAUUCACUUCAGGAAAUCAAAGUCUGGGGUUUUAGCAUCUGUGGGUUCUGGAGAGGCCUGGCAGGGCAGUGGGUGAUGCUGCAUGGCUGACUGUGUGACCCCUUGCACUGUCUGAGCACCAGAUGCUGAUUAAUGAUUAGUUUGUAACAAAUUAAUAAAUGGAUGCCACGGAUAAAGAAAGAUCCAUUACAGGGGGCUCUCAAAUCUCUCUCCUCUGGGGGAGAAGGGAGACCUGCAGGCAUUACACUCUUCAUUGACACAAAUGCCUCUGGACUCUGUGCUGUGCUGACACCUUGCAGAGGGAAUGUACCCUUGAGAUUAAUUAUAUUUCAUGGGUGGUUCAAUAUGUGCUGGUAAAAAACCUGACUUUUUUUGGCUUAGUUUUGUUGCAUGCAGAUGUUCUUGCAGGGAAGGGUGAGCGGUCAGCACAGUCAAACUGGGCUCAGGAGGAGCAAGUCCUGCCCUGAAGGGAUUUAUCCACAGGGACUCAUUUCAGACAAUGCCUUUGAAGUCUAAAGAGAAGAUCUCAUUGCCCAAGCUCCCUCUGCAGCUUGGUGGAGAACAAGGAUCCUGUGGUGCAUCAUUUAAAGCCUGAAUUUGGACUGCACUCAUGAAUGAUGACCAGAGUCUAAAAGUAAUGCAUGUGGCACAUCAAACACCCCUGACCUGAGCCUCUCUCAGCCAAAAUCAGGCAACAAAUUGAGUUAUUGUGUUGUCAUUAGGCUGUCAGAAAUAAAAAGCAUUUAAAGUUGGUGUGACACAUUAUGGAAUGCAGGUAAUUAAUGCCCUUGUAACGACCAAAGGGAGAAUUCAGACAGAAUUCAGACAUGGUUUCUGAAUCUGUACAAACACCUACAAAUCCAGAAUGGGACAGGGGAGUAAAUAAAUCCCUGACUGGCCUAACUGAUUUUUCCAUUCUUCUUGCAUAAGGAGUGUGUGUGUACUUCUGUGCUAUGCUUGGGGCAUAAUUUAUGUAUUGCAAUAAAUAACAAGUAUAUGUGUGCAUAAUUAGGAGGGACAAUAAAGAAAAGCAGUUGAUGAAAUUGAAUUAUGCAUAAUAAAGCUGUAAUUUUUCAGGGAAGGCUGUAGUCAUCAGGAGAGAAAGUGAAGCUUGUUUGUUUUCUUAGUGUUGUGAGAGACCUGAGCUGGGACUAGAGUCUUGUAAGACUUUGUAUUUUUAUGUCUCACGGGGUUUGGGCAAGACCAAGUGAACAAAUCAACAUUGUGGAACCUGAGGUAUAGGAUAAACUUUGCAAUCUGCCCUUAUGGGGACUGUUCAGGAGGCUUACAAGACAAUGCUGUGUAUUUAUCUACUUUUCCACAGUAAAAAUAUAUAAAUCUUCAUUAUAGAGCCCUUCUUCAAAAGAGAAAGAUUUGGCUCACUAGGUUUGAAGAGCCAUUCUCAUAUUUGGAUGCUUUUACACAGCCAUGACCACUCUGCAUGUGCUCUAUUCAGCUUCAAAACAAGUCCACCAACACUGCCAAACACACACAUGAGAUGAAUGUAAAAUACAUUCCAAAUAAUUGCAGUAUUUAUGUAAUUUGGUGUCUUGUGUGUUCCAGAAACCCUCAACAGCUGGUUGACCCCAGCAGGAGCAGCGAGCUGAGAGGGGCACAGGGAGUGCCAGGGUCUGGCUGCCCAGCAGAACCAGCCAGGCCCUGCCUGUCACUGCUGCCAGGGCCCAUCUCCUGGAGCAGAGUUCUCUGGCCAGCAGCAGCACUGCCCCUGCACUCCGUUGUCCUGUGCAGAAGCAGCAGAGCCAGCCCGGCCUCUCAGGCCUUGGCCUGAAGCAGCGAGGGCUGGUUUGCUGCCACACAGAGCUCCCACCUUUGUGACUACGGCCAGCGAGGAAAUGAGGUGGGGAGAUCUCCACGUCCAAGUGAACCCAUAAACCUCGUCCCUCUGUGCUUCCUCACGUGCCAGGCAGUCGGAUCUCGCUUCUCCGGGCAGGCUGUGAACGUGGGGGGUUUGUUAUCCCCAGCGCCGUGCCAAGAUGGAAGCGGUAACGCACGGGAUGGGAGCAGAGGAAUCACACCGCUUUGUGAAACAAAGGGCACGGCUGGGCUCUGGCAAGAGAAACGGAAUGGCUGUUUAUUUCUUCCAGACACGGACUGGAACUCACUGGGGUUUUUUGGGCUCUUGCUUUGUUUUUGUUUUGCUGCAGCUUUCAAGGAUGAGAAUGUUGUGUCUGACGCGUGUCAGCGAGCAGAGGAGACUCACGAGCAGAGCUGGGCUCGUCUCGUUCCCCGGUGAGGAAUAAAAGCACUGCCCGUCUCUCACUUCGGGAGGAGGAGGAGGGGCCGCGGGAAGUGCGAAGGCAUUGUCGGGCUCGGGUCGGCUGCAGCAUCGCGGAUGAGCCGGGUGUCGCUCGGCAGCCUGGAGGCACGGCUGGGGAAGCCGCAGACAGGAACGUGCGUGCAGGGGCUGGGGGCGAGGGCUGCCGGGGCUUGCUCGGCUGCAGGGCUGCUCUCCACAUUCCUGAUCUAUUGGGAAAGCAGUCGGAAAAACGCGCUGAAUAAAAGUCCUUCCUUUAUCAAGGAGCCCUUCCUUUAUCAGGGAAGCAGAGAAAAUGGCCACUUCUUCAGCCCUGUAUUGGAACUCUAAAUGCUGCUGUUAUUAGAGCUGUUAAAAACUGAGAUUAACGAGAGUUGUGCCCACAUUUAAUUCCAAUCUGGUACCUGCAAAUCUGAUUUUGCACCCAGGGAAGCUGCUGUCAGUGGAGCUACCAAGCUGGAAGUGCGGUGCUGGUGGGGAGUGAAGAUUCUGUGUUCUGUUUAUUUCUUCAUGGUUGCAUCUGUUUUUUGUGCUUUGAAGUCCACAGGUUUAUUUCAAUAUUUAGUGAAUUUUUAGUUUAUUUCAAUUCUUUAGUGAGGCAGAUAAAGCAGUGAGGGGGGAAAAUAUGAGGAAAGGGGCUAAAUGCAGAGUCACUUGGGCCACAUACACAACCUGUGACCACAAGGUGUAAAGGUUUAAUUUCCAUUAAUAAAAGCACAUUAUAUUGACCCAUCACUUCCAAAUUUCAGCUAGAUGUCACAUGGAACUGCAGAGUGCAGCUCACCUAAAACAGGACACAUGAGGUUAAACAGAACUGUUAUGUUUUAAAAUUAUUUCUCAAUGCCGUGUAUGGCUGAGGAACGAUGUUUUGUGCACUUCCAACCCAAUCAGUUUCACAGCACAACAGCAUCAAUUUCCAGUACAGUUAAACUUAUUCCAGUAUGGUCCUGUGAAAUGGUCUGACACGCUUUCUGCUAAAUGACAAUUUGAUGGGAUGUGAAAACCACAGGAGUCAGGAAGAAGGUAAUAGUCUGUGAGCAGGCCUUAUCUGUCGUGCUACAAGGGCUUGGCUUCAAGGGGAACAAAACACAACACGCUGAGGAACCUGAAGCAAGCAGGGGCAGGGCUGGGCUGGGCUUCACAGGGAAGCAGAGGCUUCUGCUCUGGCCAGUGACUCUGUCAGAUCAAUGUUUGUCACUUUGCUACCUUGUACAGGGUGGAAGGAACCAAAAAGAAUCCUUCACUAAAGGAGGAAAAUGAUGUGUGAAUGGGGAGCCUGAUGUCUCUGAAAUUUAUAACAAUGUAAUCUAGAUUCUCUGGUUUGUAAGGAAACAAUCUCAGAACUAAAGUUACCCCUGACAGAGCGGCCAGUGGAUGAGCUGGAAACAGGAGUUUGCUGCUCAGGCUCAGGACUGCAGUGAGUGUCAUUGGGAUGUCACAGAUGUCACGGCAGAGUUGUCUCAUGCGGAGCACUGAGGUUUAUUCUCCAAGCACCUUUCAGGCACUGGAUCACUUGUCUGUGCACAGGCUGUGGCUGCUUUGCACUUUGGUUCUUUCCAAAUGUACAGCAACUCUUGCAUGGUGAUGGCAACCUCAGCAGUGCUGCUUACUCAGAAUCACCAGCAACUAUGACCUAAUAAAAAA